UUACAGCAAUCCCACUCGCACAAUCCAGCAUGAGCACAUUCGCAGGCCCAUACUUCCAAGUUAUGUCGAGGGAAUGUGAUCUGGUCCGGGAACAGAGGUCCCCGUAUGUAUGCAGAUCUCUUCCGUCUUCGUUGAUGCACAGCGGUUGAAUAGACAAAUUUGAGUACCAUAAUCAUAGCGACUUCCUGUUUCUAUUCAUUGCUCAUACGUUUGUUCAACGAACUUCACUUGGUGGAUAUGCUGCUCGUGUCAUGCCCAUCCUGUUGAUAGACCUUCGAACAAGAUCAUGCUUCUGGAAUCCUUCUUGGUUGAGUGGGUGUUGAAGUUUGCUCAGCUGGCUUCUGGGUGGACCGAGUUUUUCUAUAAAAAAGCAGGUAUUUCACAGUGCUGUGGAGGGGUGUGGAGUGUGUGCUUGAAGUAUAUUUUGGAAUGCUACAGUCUGACGUACCUUUGCAGAAAUCCAUGACACAUUCGUAACACGGUCGAACCUUUUUGAGCAGCUGGAAAUCUGGAGAGAUGAAUGGUUGCCCUCAGAAGGAACCCACAAGGCCAUCGUUCUAGGACACAAGCCGGACUCGAAAGAAAUGUGUGCAUCCCUAGGUGCUUCCUCGAGACGCAAAUCUUCACAGUUAAGUGUUGUGGUAUCUUUGCAGAGACCCAGCAUUAAUGGCCGUUGCCAUGAACUGAGAACCAAAGGUCCUGAGGAGCACCCAUGACGCACUCCUCCCUCCUCACCGGGGGCAAGCAACACGCAGCUUGAUAGGAGAGGAGGGAGCUUCUCUUCCACAAGAUCAAUGCGAGGUUGGUUUUGUAUGUCCAGUGUCUGUCAAUGUCGUUGAUGGUGAUGCGCUUGUAUCUCGAAAGGACCAUUCGUGAGGGAAUGGUGUCGUCGUGUUACAAGCCCAUCACCCUCAACGACAUGACCCGCCUGUUUCAUACUCCACCAAACCUCGCUCCCAAUUCUGCUGCAGCAGGUCCAGAUUCACGACACCCCAGGGGACAACAGUCACAAAAGCAGGGCUGAAAGAGUGAGAUGAGGAAUAUCAAUCAGUGAGGAAUGUGCGGCGGUGAGGUUCAAUCGUCGCCCUGGCAGGCAUGAAAGAGAUGGGAUCCACCGACAUGGAUGUCGGUAGAGGUGCCGAUCUUCAUCACCGACAUUAGAUUCAAGCCAUUUUGUGUGUGGAAUUUGGGCAUUGUCGAAAUUUCAAGUGGCGCUCUCUGCACUUGCAUGAUUCAAUCAUGUUGCUUUCUUCUCAUGCGAAGUCUGUCCGCAUUCAGCGAUGUGUGUGUGAGUGUGUUUUUCUUUUCAAUGUGCGUGAAUCUAUAUAUAUAUAUAUAUAUAUACAUACAUAUUUAUGUAUUUUUUUAUUUAUUUAUGUGUUGUGUAAUGUAAGUGAGGAAUUUUCAUAGGAAAAAAUUGUAGGUAUUAGAUUUUAGAGGCAUCUUUUUUGGUUGAAAUCGAAUAUGAUAUUUUUUAAUACUAGAGUGAAAAAAAAAAUAGAUUACAAAAUUGAGUUGUUCAUAUUAAAAGAUGCAUUCAUGUAUUGUAAAGAAUAAUGUAAAAAACAAUAAAAUACUAAAUAUUAGAUCUA